rnacentral:lncRNA from 1 species
UACCAUACAUAUCCCAUCAGUAUAAAUUGCUAAUAAUUCAGUAUAAAUUGCUACGAACUUGGAACGGUGAAAUCCUGCACUCUCUACCAGCCUCAAAAAUGCUACUCAGCCACCAAAAGGCGGUGUCGACAACGAAGUGGAAUGCCCAUACAGUACGGCGAACGCUUUGCUUGUAAGGAACCGAUUCUUACCAGCUAGCUGAUCUGGUUUCUAAAUCCUGAGCAUCCAUCCAUGGAGCUCUCAUCACCCACACUGCCCUAAUCUCUAGGCACGCACAGAAUCUGCCCAACUUGCCUG